rnacentral:tRNA from 1 species
UCCCUGGUGGCUCAGAUGGUAAAGUAUCUGCCUGCAAUUCAGGAGACCUGGGUUCGAUCCCUGGGUUGGGAA